AUAGGAAAAGCAAAUAAGGGCGUAUGGCGGAUGCCUAGGCUCACGGAGGCGAUGAAGGACGUGAUAAGCUGCGAUAAGCCGCGGUUAGGUGCAAAUGACCCUUGACCCGCGGAUUUCCGAAUGGGACAACCCGGCCGCCUUAAGGCGGUCAUCAUGGCAAUGUCAUGAGGCGAACGCGGGGAACUGAAACAUCUUAGUACCCGCAGGAAGAGAAAAUAAGUCAAUGAUUCCCCCAGUAGUGGCGAGCGACCGGGGAAGAGCCCAAACCGGGUGUGUCGAGGCACAUCCGGGGUUGUAGGACCGCGCUGUUGUACGAGCAUGAGCGAGCGUGACCGUCUGGAAAGUCGGGCCGUAGCGGGUGACAGCCCCCUUCGCGAAGUUCAUGCCGGCAUAGCGGUAUCCUGAGUAACGCGGGACACGAGGAAUCCUGCGCGAAUCCGCCGGGACCAUCCGGCAAGGCUAAAUACUCCCGUGAGACCGAUAGUGGACCAGUACCGUGAGGGAAAGGUGAAAAGAACUCCGACGAGGAGAGUGAAAUAGCCCCUGAAACCAUACGCCUACAAGCGGUCGGAGCAUGCGUUGCAUGUGACGGCGUGCCUUUUGCAUAAUGAACCUACGAGUUGCCGUCACGGGCAAGGUUAAGCGCCUAAGGCGCCGAGCCGCAGUGAAAGCGAGCCUGAAUAGGGCGCAUAGUCCGUGGAGGCAGACGCGAAACCGAGUGAUCUACACUUGUCCAGGAUGAAGUCCCGGUAACACGGGAUGGAGGUCCGCACCGAUAAGCGUUGAAAAGCUUCCGGAUGAGGUGAGUGUAGGAGUGAAAGGCCAAUCAAACUCGGAGAUAGCUCGUACUCCCCGAAAUGCAUUUAGGUGCAGCGUUCCGCGAUAGCGUCAAGAGGUAGAGCGACCGAUAGGAUGCGAGGGCUUCACCGCCUAUCAAGUCCUGACGAACUCCGAAUGCUUGACGCCGGCAGCGGGGCAGCAAGGGGGCGGGUGCUAAGGUCCGUCCCCGAGAGGAGAAGAAUCCAGACCGCCGUCUAAGGUCCCGGAAUUCUGCCUGAGUUAGUCUAACGAAGUGAGGUCCCUGAGACAGCCAGGAUGUUGGCUUGGAAGCAGCCAUUCAUUCAAAGAGUGCGUAACAGCUCACUGGUCGAGGGUCCUUGCGUGGAUAAUAAUCGGGUAUAAGGCAGAUACCGAAGGCGCGGGAUAGUAAUAAUAAAAGUAUCGGUAGGGGAGCAUUCCAUGUGCGUCGAAUGUUCAUGGUGACGUGAGCUGGAGCGCAUGGAAAAGCAAAUGUAGGUAUAAGUAACGACAAGGAGGGCGAGAACCCCUCCCGCCGCAAGACCAAGGUUUCCCGGGCAAUGCCAGUCAUCCCGGGGUCAGUCGGGUCCUAAGUCUAAGCCGAACGGCGAGGGCGAUGGCAGAAACGGUUAAUAUUCCGUUACUGCCUGUGCGAGCGAUGUGGAGACGGAGAAGUGGAACCGCCGCGGGGUGACGGAAGUCCCCGUUGAAGGGCGUAGGUUAUGAGGGAUGCAGGCAAAUCCGCAUUCCGAGCCGACCCUGACAGUACUCCGGCGCCUCCGGGCAACGGAGAUAGUGCGGGUAAUCAUGCUCCCGAGAAAAUCCGCUAAGCAAUCGCACAGGCACCCGUACCGCAAACGGACACACGUAGUCGGGUAGAAUAUACUAAGGCGUUGAGAGACUCAUGGUUAAGGAACUAGGCAAACUGACCCCGUAACUUCGGGAUAAGGGGUCCUCACGUUGAGUGAGGCGCAGAGAAUAGGUCCAGGCAACUGUUUAACAAAAACACAGGGCUGUGCGAACUCGAAAGAUGAAGUAUACAGCCUGACACCUGCCCGGUGCCGGAAGGUUAAGAGGAGAGCUCAGGAGCAAUCCGAAGGUUUGAAUUGAAGCCCCGGUAAACGGCGGCCGUAACUAUAACGGUCCUAAGGUAGCGAAAUUCCUUGUCGGGUAAGUUCCGACCUGCACGAAUGGUGUAAUGAUCCGGACGCUGUCUCAACCAUGAUCUCAGUGAAAUUGUAGUAUCGGUGAAGAUGCCGAUUACCCGCGAUGGGACGAAAAGACCCCGUGAACCUUUACUGCAGCUUAGCACUGACCUUGGUCAUCCGAUGUGUAGGAUAGGCCGGAGGCUAUGAAGCCGGUACGCCAGUAUUGGUGGAGCCGCCGUUGAAAUACGGCCCUUUGGCUGUCUGAGGUCUAACGCGCAGUUGCGCGGACACUGCUUGGCGGGCAGUUUGACUGGGGUGGUCGCCUCCAAAAGCGUAACGGAGGCUUCCAAAGGUGCCCUCGGGCCGAUUGGUAACCGGCCUUACAGAGUGCAAUGGCAUAAGGGCGCUUGACUGGGAGGGAGACAUCCCGAGCAGGCAGGAAACUGGGGCAUAGUGAUCCGGCGGACGUGUAUGGAAACUCCGUCGCUCAAAGGAUAAAAGGUACUCCGGGGAUAACAGGCUGAUCCCCCCCAAGAGCUCAUAUCGACGGGGUGGUUUGGCACCUCGAUGUCGGCUCGUCACAUCCUGGGGCUGGAGAAGGUCCCAAGGGUUGGGCUGUUCGCCCAUUAAAGUGGCACGCGAGCUGGGUUCAGAACGUCGUGAGACAGUUCGGUCUCUAUCUAUCGUGGGCGUUGGAGUUUUGAGCGGAUCUGACACUAGUACGAGAGGACCGUGUUGGACAGACCUCCGGUAUGCCGGUUGUGCCGCCAGGUGCACCGCCGGGUAUCCGUGUCUGGCCCGGAUAAGCGCUGAAAGCAUCUAAGUGCGAAGCCGUCCGCGAGAUAAGAACUCCUUGAGGGCCGUUCCAGACGAGGACGUUGAUAGGGCGCAGGUGUAAAGACGGCGACGUCAAAGCCGAGCGCUACUAAUUGCCCGAAGCUUUUCCUGUGCAU
rnacentral:rRNA from 2 species